AAGGAUUUAAGUUAAAAAAACUAGAAACCUUCAAAGUUUCCAAUAAAGAUAAACUUUAAGCCUUA
rnacentral:tRNA from 1 species